rnacentral:rRNA from 1 species
AGUUGCAGGUCAGCAUACUGCGGUGAAUACGUUCCCGGGCCUUGUACACACCGCCCGUCAAGCCAUGGAAGUUGGGAGUACCUGAAGUCGGUAACCGCAAGGAGCUGCCUAGGGUAAAACCAGUAACUGGGGCUAAGUCGGAACAAGGUAGCCGUACCGGAAGGUGCGGCUGGAUCACCUCCU